rnacentral:rRNA from 1 species
GCNNNNNNNNNNNNNGUNCCNNNCCNNNNGCNNGCNNNNNGGUCUCCNGANUNCUNGNNNNNCUUUGGCCCUUUCUCCCGUCAGCGGCGCUAUUGCUUCGGAUGCCUUCCCGAYCCGUCUUGAAACACGGACCAAGGAGUCYAACAUGUGCGCRAGUCACUGGGAACCACUAAACCCAGAGGCGCAAUGAAAGUGGGGCGGCCUCGUGCCGCCAAGGGAGGAUGGCUCUCCUCACCGGGGGAGCCCGCACUCCCGGGGCGCCCCGGCUUCGGCCGUGGGCGCACUCUGAGCGUACACGUUGGGACCCGAAAGAUGGUGAACUAUGCCUGGUCAGGACGAAGUCAGGGGAAACCCUGAUGGAGGUCCGCAGCGAUUCUGACGUGCAAAUCGAUCGUCAGAGCUGGGUAUAGGGGCGAAAGACUAAUCGAACCAUCUAGUAGCUGGUUCCCUCCGAAGUUUCCCUCAGGAUAGCUGGCGCCCGCUUUGAACGAGACGAGUCUCAUCCGGUAAAGCGAAUGAUUAGAGGCCUUGGGGCCGAAACGACCUCAACCUAUUCUCAAACUUUAAAUGGGUGAGAACUCCGGCUUGCUCGAGUGAAGCCGCGAGGUGGAUCAGGGUGCCAAGUGGGCCAUUUUUGGUAAGCAGAACUGGCGCUGUGGGAUGAACCAAACGCCGGGUUAAGGCGCCUAAACCGGAGMUCAUGGGAGACCAUGAAAGGSGUUGGUUGCUUAAGACAGCAGGACGGUGGCCAUGGAAGUCGGAAGCCGCUAAGGAGUGUGUAACAACUCACCUGCCGAAGCAACURGCCCUGAAAAUGGAUGGCGCUAAAGCUCCGUGCCUAUACCCGGCCGCCGGUAGGCAUAGGCGUGAGCCCUCRCGGGCGAGCGCGCGAAGCCCCGGCGAGUAGGAGGGCGCGGCGGUGUGCGCGGAAGGGUCUGGGCGCGAGCCUGCCUGGAGCCGCCGCCGGUGCAGAUCUUGGUGGUAGUAGCAAAUACUCAAGCGAGGGCCUUGAGGGCUGAUGUGGAGAAGGGUUUCGUGUGAACAGCCGUUGCACACGAGUCAGUCGAUCCUAAGCCCUAGGAGAAAUCCGAUGUCGAUGUGGGGGGCUCGUCCCAACGUGUUCCCCCUCGAUGGGCGAAAGGGAAUCCGGUUCCUAUUCCGGAACCCGGCAGCGGAACCGAAUYYACGGGCCCUCGUCAGAGAAGCUCGUCGGGGUAACCCAAAGGGACCCGGAGACGCCGUCGGGASACCCGGGCAGAGUUUUCUGUUCUGCAUAAGCGUUCGAGUUCCCUGGAAUCCUCUAGCAGGGAGAUAGGGUUUGGAACGCGAAGAGCACCGCAGUUGCGGCGGUGUCCGGGUCGUCCCCUCGGACCUUGAAAAUCCGGGAGAGGGUCACGCGGAGGUGUCGCGCCGGCUCGUACCCAUAUCCGCAGCAGGUCUCCAAGGUGAAGAGCCU